rnacentral:rRNA from 1 species
CGAAGAACCUUACCAGGUCUUGACAUCCCUGACAACCCGAGAGAUCGGGCGUUCCCCUUCGGGGGACAGGGUGACAGGUGGUGCAUGGUUGUCGUCCGCUCGUGUCGUGAGAUGUUGGGUUAAGUCCCGCAACGAGCGCAACCCUCGACCUUAGUUGCCAGCAUUCAGUUGGGCACUCUAAGGUGACUGCCGGCUAAAAGUCGGAGGAAGUGGGGAUGACGUCAAAUCAUCAUGCCCCUUAUGACCUGGGCUACACACGUGCUACAAUGGUUGGUACAACGAGUUGCGAGUCGGUGACGGCGAGCUAAUACUCUUAAAGCCAAUCUCAGUUCGGAUUGUAGGCUGCAACUCGCCUACAUGAAGUCGGAAUCGCUAGUAAUCGCGGAUCAGCACGCCGCGGUGAAUACCGGUUCCCGGGCCUU